GAUGAACGCUGGCGGCGUGCCUAAUACAUGCAAGUCGAGCGAACAGACGAGGAGCUUGCUCCUCUGACGUUAGCGGCGGACGGGUGAGUAACACGUGGAUAACCUACCUAUAAGACUGGGAUAACUUCGGGAAACCGGAGCUAAUACCGGAUAAUAUAUUGAACCGCAUGGUUCAAUAGUGAAAGACGGUUUUGCUGUCACUGAUAGAUGGAUCCGCGCCGCAUUAGCUAGUUGGUAAGGUAACGGCUUACCAAGGCAACGAUGCGUAGCCGACCUGAGAGGGUGGUAGGCCGCCUUGGAAGUUGGACGACGGCCAGACUCCUGAGGGAGGGCCCCGGCGGGAAGCUUCCGCAAUGGGGGGAAACCUUGCGGAAGAAGCGCGAGUGUGGUGUGGAGGGCCUCCGUUUGGAAAACCGUGUUUUUAGGGAAAAACCAAUUUGGAAGGAAACGAGGCAGUGUUGACGGUACCUGAACAAGAAGCCCCGGCUAACUACGUG
rnacentral:rRNA from 1 species